rnacentral:lncRNA from 1 species
AUACAGAAACGCUCAUCUGUAACGUUGACAAAAAAAGGACACUUUUUUUACUCACAGGUUGUUUUCUUUCUUUUCUUUUCUUUCAUCUCAUUGCGACCAGGCAAUUUUACCAUCUUAUCUGAAAGCGUGAAAACGGUUCAAAUCAAAACAAAAACACAGGCAGGUGCAGAACAGCUAAAGACGUCUGUAAUGACUACUGAAAAUGGGAACCGUGAGGCAUGUACUACCUGGGACUGAUGCCAACUGCUGACAAAAGGCUUCACUGCACGCUCUGAGAGAAGUCUUUAACUCGUUCUUUCUCCCCCCCCAAAUGCAUCAGAAAUCUACGGGAUUGAGUUGUUUUGAUGUCAUAAGUCUGGCAACACUUUUUGCCAUAGGUACAAGAACCGAUCUGGGCCAAAGUGGGCAGGGAGAGAGGAGGGCACGGCCGAGACUGCUCUCAAGCCCCAGCCCUUGUUCGAGUGGGGUUGCUCGCCAGCACGCUGCUCAGCCUUUCCCUCAUCUUGCAGACGAAAGAGAGGGACGUGGAAACGCGCUCUCCUCUCCUUUCUUCCCCGCCCUUUUUUCACCACCACCAUGGCCUGUUCACUUCGGGUCAUCUCUGCGGAGAUCCCUGCUCUGUCCUUUACAAAAUCUACUUCCAGGUAUUUCCAUUUUUGAUACUGCUUCUAUGCCAGGGCCCUGUGACUUUUCGUUUUUGAUCUACCUCUCCUUUACUCGUAUCUUUUAUAUUUUAUCCUUUGCACUUUUCCUAUUUUUCACCAUCAUCUUCCUCCUGUACACGUGUCUGCCUCGCCCCCGCCGCAAUGUUGAAAUCUUCGCCAUUACUGUAUGGUAG